rnacentral:rRNA from 1 species
UACGUAGGGCGCAAGCGUUGUCCGGAAUUAUUGGGCGUAAAGAGCUCGUAGGCGGUCUGUGCGUCCGCUGUGAAAACUCGGGGCUUACCCCGCAGCCUGCAGUGGAUACGGGCAGACUAGAGGUAGGUAGGGGAGAAUGGAAUUCCCGGUGUAGCGGUGAAAUGCGCAGAUAUCGGGAGGAACACCGGUGGCGAAGGCGGUUCUCUGGGCCUUACCUGACGCUGAGGAGCGAAAGCGUGGGGAGCGAACAGG